CAAAGACAUCAGCGAUUGACUUUACAGC
rnacentral:piRNA from 1 species